GAUGAACGCUGGCGGCGUGCCUAAUACAUGCAAGUCGAGCGAACGGACGAGAAGCUUGCUUCACUGAUGUUAGCGGCGGACGGGUGAGUAACACGUGGAUAACCUACCUAUAAGACUGGGAUAACUUCGGGAAACCGGAGCUAAUACCGGAUGAUAUUUUGAACCGCAUGGUUCAAAAGUGAAAGUCGGUCUUGCUGUCACUUAUAGAUGGAUCCGCGCUGCAUUAGCUAGUUGGUAAGGUAACGGCUUACCAAGGCAACGAUGCAUAGCUGACCUGAGAGGGUGAUCGGCCACACUGGAACUGAGACACGGUCCAGACUCCUACGGGAGGCAGCAGUAGGGAAUCUUGCACAAUGGGCGCAAGCCUGACGGAGCAACGCCGCGUGAGUGAUGAAGGUCUUCGGAUCGUAAAACUCUGUUAUUAGGGAAGAAAAGAUGUGUAAGUAACUGUGCACAUCUUGACGGUACCUAAACAGAAAGCCACGGCUAACUACGUG
rnacentral:rRNA from 1 species